CUCAGAUUUUAAAAUUUCACGGGAGAGCAAGUACCCGGCGCCACUAACAAACUCACGCCUUCGGCGUUCGCUAUAGCCCACUUAAUCCAAAAAUGGUUUUGCGGUCCCUGAAUUUAGUUGACCUCCAUGGGAAAUUUUACAAGCUUCCAUGGCUGGCAUAUGGUCUGUACAAGCUCGUUCGUCAGUCGGUUGACAUGACCUUACCCCCACCCCCCUGAAGAAUUUCCUGAGGACGGCCUGGG